GAUGAACGCUGGCGGCGUGCCUAAUACAUGCAAGUCGAGCGAACUGAUUAGAAGCUUGCUUCUAUGACGUUAGCGGCGGACGGGUGAGUAACACGUGGGCAACCUGCCUGGAAGACUGGGAUAACUUCGGGAAACCGAAGCUAAUACCGGAUAGGAUCUUCUCCUUCAUGGGAGAUGAUUGAAAGAUGGUUUCGGCUAUCACUUACAGAUGGGCCCGCGGUGCAUUAGCUAGAUGGUGAGGUAACGGCGCACCAAGGCACCGAUGCAUAGCCGACCUGAGAGGGUGAUCGGCCACAAUGGGACUGAGACACGGCCCAGACUCCUACGGGAGGGAGCAGUAGGGAAUCUUCCGCAAUGGACGAAAGUCUGACGGAGCAACGCCGCAUGAGUGAUGAAGGCUUUCGGGUCGUAAAACUCUGUUGUUAGGGAAGAACAAGUACAAGAGUAACUGCUUGUACCUUGACGGUACCUAACCAGAAAGCCACGGCUAACUACGUGCCAGCCGCCGCCGUAAGAC
rnacentral:rRNA from 1 species